CCUACGGGGAGCAGCAGUAGGGAAUAUUGCUCAAUGGGGGAAACCCUGAAGCAGCAACGCCGCGUGGAGGAUGAAGGUUUUCGGAUUGUAAACUCCUUUUGGUAGAGAAGAGAAUGACGGUAUCUAACGAAUAAGCACCGGCGAACUCCGUGCCAGCAGCCGCGGUAAUACGGAGGGUGCAAGCGUUCCUCGGAAUCACUGGGCGUAAAGAGCGCGGAGGCGGGAUCGCAAGUCAGAUGUGAAAUCCUAUGGCUUAACCCUAGAACUGCAUUUGAAACUGUUAUUCUAGAGUAUGGGAGAGGUAGGUGGAAUUCUUGGUGUCGUGGUCCAAUCCGUAGAGAUCAAGAGGAAUACUCAUUGCGAAGGCGACCUGCUAGAACAUAAUUGUCGCUGCUGCGC
rnacentral:rRNA from 1 species